rnacentral:rRNA from 1 species
UACAGAGGUCUCAAGCGUUGUUCGGAUUCAUUGGGCGUAAAGGGCGCGUAGGCGGCGGGGUAAGUCGGGUGUGAAAUCUCAGGGCUCAACCCUGAAACUGCACUCGAUACUGCUCUGCUUGAGGACUGGAGAGGAGACUGGAAUUCACGGUGUAGCAGUGAAAUGCGUAGAUAUCGUGAGGAACACCAGUGGCGAAGGCGGCCUUCUGGACGGAUACUGACGCUGAUACGCGAAAGCGUGGGGAGCAAACAGG